CCUACGGGAGGCAGCAGUGAGGAAUAUUGGUCAAUGGACGAGAGUCUGAACCAGCCAAGCCGCGUGAAGGACGACGGCCCUCCGGGUUGUAAACUUCUUUUAUAAGGGAAUAAAUCGAGGUACGUGUCCCUUUUUGAAUUUACUUUAUGAAUAUGAAUCGGCUAACGCCGUGCCAGCAGCCGCGGUAAUACGGAGGGUGCGAGCGUUGUUCGGAUUUAUUGGGGUUAAAGGGAGCGUAGGUGGGUUGUUAAGUCAGUAGUCAAAUUGUAGGGCUCAACCGUAGGAUUGCAAUUGAUACUGGAAGACUUGAGUACAGUAGAGGUAGGCAGAAUGCGUGGUGUAGCGGUGAAAUGCGUAGAUAUCACGAAGAACCCCGAUAGCGAAGGCAGCAUACU
rnacentral:rRNA from 1 species